UACGUAGGGCGCGAGCGUUGUCCGGAAUUAUUGGGCGUAAAGAGCUCGUAGGCGGUGUGUCGCGUCGGCCGUGAAAACCUGCAGCUUAACUGUGGGCUUGCGGUCGAUACGGGCAUCACUGGAGUUCGGCAGGGGAGACUGGAAUUCCCGGUGUAGUGGUGGAAUGCGUAGAUAUCGGGAGGAACACCAGUGGCGCAGGCGGCGUCCUGGACCGGCACUGACGCUGAGGAGCGAAAGCGUGGGGAGCGAUCCGG
rnacentral:rRNA from 1 species